rnacentral:lncRNA from 1 species
AUUUUUUUACUCAAUGAAUUUAUUACAUUUAUAGUUGUACAAUGAUCAUAACAAUCCAAUUUUAUAGGAUUUCCAUCCCACAAUCCAAGCACAUCCCCCCAGCCCCCAAACUGUCUCCUUUGGAGACCAUAAGUUUUUCAAAGUCUGUGAGUCUUCGCAGUAUCUGUUCUGCAAAGAAGUUCGGUCUGUCCUUUUUUCAGAUUCCACAUGUCAGUGAAAGCAUUUGAUCUUGGUGUCUCAUUGUAUGGCUGACUUCACUUAGCAUAAUUUCUAGGUCCAUCCAUGUUGCUAAAAAUGCCAGUAUUUCGUUGCUUUUAAUGGCUGAGUAAUAUUCCAUUGUGUAUACGUACCAUAUCUUCUUUAGCCAUGUGGUUUAACGGUGAAUAGAAGAGGUUAAGUGUUUCCUUUCCAGUUUGGAACUUGAAUCAAGGACCAAGCACCUACACACAGUGAAUUAAUCUAGUCUAGGGACACUCAGUCACAUAAGAGAUAUUUGGAGCAGGAAAGAGCUCUGAAAGACAAGGUAGACAGAGAGACAAUGGUACAUUUCCAAAACAACAAAGCCUAUGCAUCUAAGUACCACAGAAGGGAGUAAGGAGGAGACAAAAUAAAGAGGAUAUAAAGUAAGGGAUCAAAGGUCUAAUCAUUUGCUCACUCGCUCCUAUCCCAGUGACCACCUCUGCCUUCCCAGGGUUCGUGUUGUUCCAAACUCCAUCAAAACCACAUCCAACUAUUGUGGAGAAAAAGAUCACACACUUAGAAUUUUAAAAUAGGUCCAUACUCUUUGAUAAGAACUGCACCGUAAGAAGGAAGGAAAAGAGUACUCACUAGAUCAUAACUAGGUGACCACCAUGCCCCUGUUUUUUUUAACAUAUCAAAAUGACAGGCUUACCUUUUCAACAUAAUUUCAACCUUAGACCUCUCUGAGAACUGCUUUGGGAUCAGCAUGGAAAAUGGGUCUCAUGACACUCGGGUAGUGCAAAGAACUCAUGACCGUAAGAGAAUCAAAGAACUGAUAAAUACUGUUAGUUACCAAAGCUCACAAAGGCUAUUUGAAAGAAGGCACAAUGCUUGUGUGGUAAAACACCACGAAUCUAUCAUUUCUGGAGACUUGAUUCCUUUAUUUAACUAUUGGCAAGAAGUUAAAUUGCUCUCUUAUUAGGAAGGAUUGAUUUUUUUUUUUAUCGAAUGUCAUCUACCUGAGGAUAGGUUAGGGUGGCUCUGGACAGCACCUCUGAGUCCAAGGGAAGAGGGAAGAUAAUCUGUGGAAUCUUUCUCUCACCAAGAUUCUGAAGAUGCCAUGAAAGCCUUCAAACCCCAGAAGGAGGAGGAAUGAGAAGAAUGAACAGAGGGUGGCUUGGCAACCUCAAAGGUGGGACUAUCUGCAACUGACAUUCCAGUCAAUUUGCAUGAUUGCCUUCUUGUUGUCAUUAAUUUUGGUAUCUUGUGACCACAGGUCUUCCAAAAAGAUACAUUUCCCAAGUCUCCUGUGGGAAACAUGAGCCAGAGGAAGUGGGUCACCACAAAGUAACUGUGAUCCUGGGGAUUGGGAAUUCUGCCCCCAGGGUUAUGUGAGAGUAUUCAAAUGCCAGCCAGAUUUUCCUGCUGUUCUUCAGCAACAAGCAGACCACUACAAAACAGUAACCCAGAACUCUGCCAGCAAACUGCUGGUGACUUAUGUUAAGACAGGACCAAGGAAAGAAACAUCUCCGUGCUGCCGCCACAGGCCUUCCAGCCCCCUUGCUGGCAGGUUAGAACAGUGAUGCCUGUUCCAGGGGAAUGGCAUCACUGCUGCCUUUGGUAGCCAUUAAAAUUCAGCUCUACUCUCAGUGGACACAUUCUGUGUGAACAAGGCAAUGCUCCUGGAUCUCUAUAACACUCAGCAAUGCAGUAGGGAGGGAUUUUUCAAAGAUGAAUCUAAUAUUACUGUAAUAUGACAGACUUCAUUCUGACCUUGAGCAAAAUAUUGAUAUGAGCCAAAUCUCCCUUGUAGAAUGCAUGCAGAAAAAUCUUUUUGAGAUUAAUCAGAAAACCUGUGCAGAGGAGCUUGCCCUAAAAUUUAUCUGCACUGGUUAUAAGAAGAAAUUCAUGAUUACAUUGUUAUCAUGAAAAAAUAUUUAAGUGUAAUUAAAUGAGGCCGCUUAAGAAAAGGAGCUCUUCUUUCCAAGUGUAGCACCCAAUAUUUAUGCAAAUUUCAAAUGAUUCAUUUUAGUCAUGAAAGCUAGUUCACAUUGCCCUUUACUAGAGACAACCCUUGUUUAAUUAAUUCUUGCUUAAAAGUAAUAAAACUAAUUUCUUUUCAUAGCAUGUGAGUCACACAUUUCACUUCUAGAGACCAACUAUACACAACUCAUACAAAAUAAAGAGGUAGCACCACCUGAAUCAAAUGUUGUAACUCGCUACAUGGUUUUUGCAUUUAGACUAAUUGAAAAUAAUCUUUGCUUGACCACAAGCCCACACUUUCCCCUAUUCUAAAAACACAAAGCUGAUGCCUGCUGAGUAAGAACAGAGUGUACAAAGACGUGCUCCUUACCCCAAGCCAAAUCUAACCCAGGUCAAGUGUAUACAUACCAUGACCAAGAGAUCAUACAACAGAUUCUCACAUUUAAACUUGGUUCUAAAUAGUAAUAAUUUCAAAAUGUUAUUAGUGUAGAAAAUAUUAAUUCCCAUUUCAUAGGCUUGACUUUAACAUAUCAUUAUUGGAAUUAGUUAAGAUUAGUGUCAUUAUAUAGAUCAUAUUUACUGUGUUAGUCUCAAAUCGAUCAUAUAAAAUAGGUAGUCCCAUUUUGCAGAGUAGGCAAUUGAAGCUGAAGAAAUUAAAAUAAAGCCUAAGUAAAAGUCAGAACUGGAAUUCAUAUGGAAGCUGCCUGAUUUUCAGGCUUAUAACCUUAAUUAUUGUAUGAUUUCUGCUUUCCCUAAGCCUAUGGUAGAAAAAUAAUAUAAUUCAUAAAUUCUUAUAUUUGAAAGAGCUCUUCAGUGAGGCAUUUAAUCUAAUCCUCCCCCUCUGCCCCCACCAUGCAGAAAUUUCUUUCUCAGUGUCAUUAAAAGAAAGAACAACUAGGCUGUAUUGGGUAUUUACAAAACUGAAGCUUCUUAUUUUGGAAGAUAGUUCAUUUCAUUGCUGGACCAUUAAAAUGGUUAAACAAAUCUUCCUGAAUCCAAGAUUACAUUUUAAAGAUUUUUUAAUGAAUGUUUUCUCCUUUAAAAUUCACUAUCAAACAAGAAUAAGAAACAUAAAUAGAAACUCUAACAUCAAUGAAACCAUAAGAAUUGAAUCCAUAAAGUCCAAACCAUAGUGAAUGAGGACUAGAACACGAGACUUAACAGUAAAUGAUCCAACAGAAAAAGUGUGCUUGACAGAAAUGGGACUCUGUGUCCACAGGAAAGGUAGUGAGAAAGUGAAAAGCAAGAUAAUUUGGCUGGUAAAUUCUCAAAAGACUAAAGAAUUUAAAGUUAAUAUUCAGCAAGUGGUAAUACUAUCAGAAGUAGUAGUAAGGCAGGGGCCUAUAGUAGGAUUAUUUCACGGCUAGUUUUUUUUUUUUUUUUGGUUGGGUUUUAUAUUUGGUUUUUUACUUAGGAGAACAAUCAAACCCUAGAGUCCCCAACUCCACAAAGUCCAGUAACCUUUCUCCACCUUUUCAAGAUACCCGAGAAUUGUUUCCUGGAGAAACUUAACCAAAAAUGUUCCAGACUCAGGAAUAUGAGGCCCAGAGGAGGAGAAGGUGAGAAACAAAUUAUAAAAUAGGAAGGAGGUUAAAAACAUGAGUCUCCAGAUUUAAAAAGCUGUUAAGCACCCAACACAAUAAAUGAAAAAAAGCCUACAUCAAGUUUUAUUGGGAAACUUCAGAAAAGUAAAGAUAAAGAGAAGAUUCUGAAAGGUUCCAAAGAGGAAAAAAAGAAAUUGGUCAUACAAAGGACUAGGAAUAAAAUUUUAAG